GUAGAAACCUCUAUUUUUAAAAGCAAUAUUUUGAAGAUUAGUUUUAGAAAUGCUAGUCCAACUUUAGCAAAUUGGUCUGGAAUUGACAAGUACGAGAAAUGAAAUAACAAACUAUAGUACAGAACAAUCCUAAAAGCCAUUAAUUUUCAAUUACUGUAGCAUAUACGCAAACUGUUAAAAUAUGCAGAUAUGUGUCCAAUGUCAAAAUUGUUUAACGGCUCUCUAUUAGUGCAAUUGAACUCGUAUUGUAUUUCCACUCUUGUAUUCAUUAUGAUGUCCAAAUAAAUUAAAAAAUUUCAUCAAAGUCCAUUUUCAAGGAGAACGCCUGGAGAAGAAAUGUGUUUAUUACACUGACAUGGAGGAGAAAGGCAGCAUAUCCGCAACUAUAUACACGAAUAUAAGUUUCAUAAUGGACCAAGUAAAGCUUUAAUAUUUCGACGAGAAAAUGAACAAUAUUACCCCUCAAUUGAAAUGUUAAACGAAAUAGGAACUACAGAUCAAGUCUUUGGGCUCAAGUAACGAAAAUGUUAAAAGUUGAACUUACAGGAACCGUUGGUUGAGGAAAUGUUAACGACACCUGGGAAAAUACCAAACGAAAUGUACGAACUAGAAAAUACAUAUCCAGGAUCUGAAACCACAUUUAUUUUGGGAAGAGGUGCAUCAGCUGUGAGCGAGCAAACGCUAUCAGCAUUCACAGGAAUAGUCGAUAUCAAUGAACCAAAAUGAAAAAGAAGAAUUAAAAUAAGCAGCUAAACGAAAAAGAUGUUGAGUUCAAUGAAGCGGAUCGUCCUUUAUUAGGUACUUUUGCACGAAAAGAUUCUUCAACAUCUGCCUGCUGCCGAAAUUGAAAAAUACUUUGGCCAAUGAUCGAACUUGCAAGCAGUACUGUUGAAAAAGUUUUAAGAAUUGAUAUGAGACCAUUGAAAUGAAUGGUGUAACCUGAGUACAAGGAAAAGGGAUAUAAAGAUUAACUGUGCUAAACGGAACAAAAAUUAAAGAAAUGUGACAUUAGACGAAACUAGAUUUUAACCUUAAAAUAUCACGUGUCCUACAUAUGAAGAUCUGUCAAGGUUUCUAAGCUUCCUGUUGGUGUUUUAGCAGAAACUCUGAAUUAGCAAAUUUUUUUUCGUAAGAAAACAAGUGUUACAAAUUUCAAUUGUGCUAUUAUAAAUUUGGUCAAUUAAUUGAGAUGUGACAUAACCUUCAAAUAUGGUAUAUGACCUCACCUGGUUUUACCGGCGUGACCGCUGUUGAGGUUUGGCCAAAGGCAAACGACGGAGCCGCAGCGGGGGUGGACGUACCAAAACCCGUGCCAAAAGACAUGCUUACACUCUUAUAAGAUACAACAAUCAACUAAAAACAUUCAGAUUCCCGCGGCCGUUUAUAAAUAAUCUAAAUCAACCUAAAUAAUGAAACAAAUCCGUAAUUUAUCGCCCACCAGAUGUCACCAGUUCACUAGUAUUUUAAAUUUCUUUCGUGAAUUUUUUCCUUUUUGCAUGAAUUGUCAGAGAAUUAUUAAGGAAUAAUGAUAAAUACUCAUACAUAAAAUAAUUGAAAAUCUGUUUCUAUUACUCUAUUUUUAGCAUUUACUAUAAUGAAAAAGCAGCAUGAUGCUUUACGACAUUUCACAAUAGUGCAAUUAUCCAAAUGAAAUAUUUAUGAAAUAAAGGUUACGUAUCCUUUUUGAAGCCUACAUAAUAAAAAUAAAUCAAAAA